rnacentral:rRNA from 1 species
UACGGAGGGUGCAAGCGUUGUCCGGAUUUAUUGGGUUUAAAGGGUGCGUAGGCGGUCCGUUAAGUCCGGGGUGAAAGCCCACUGCUCAACAGUGGAACUGCCCUGGAAACUGGCGGACUUGAGUACAGACGAGGGUGGCGGAAUGGAUGGUGUAGCGGUGAAAUGCAUAGAUACCAUCCAGAACCCCCGAUUGCGAAGGCAGCGUGCCUA